rnacentral:rRNA from 1 species
UGGGGAAUAUUGGACAAUGGACCAAGAGUCUGAUCCAGCAAUUCUGUGUGCACGGUGACGUUUUUCGGAAUGUAAAGUGCUUUCAGUUGGGAAGAAAAAAAUGACGGUACCAACAGAAGAAGUGACGGCUAAAUACGUGCCAGCAGCCGCGGUAAUACGUAUGUCACGAGCGUUAUCCGGAUUUAUUGGGCGUAAAGCGCGUCUAGGUGGUUAUGUAAGUCUGAUGUGAAAAUGCAGGGCUCAACUCUGUAUUGCGUUGGAAACUGUGUAACUAGAGUACUGGAGAGGUAAGCGGAACUACAAGUGUAGAGGUGAAAUUCGUAGAUAUUUGUAGGAAUGCCGAUGGGGAAGCCAGCUUACUGGACAGAUACUGACGCUGAAGCGCGAAAGCGUGGGUAGCAAACAGGAUUAGAUACCCUGGUAGUCCACGCCGUAAACGAUGAUUACUAGGUGUUGGGGGUCGAACCUCAGCGCCCAAGCAAACGCGAUAAGUAAUCCGCCUGGGGAGUACGUACGCAAGUAUG